rnacentral:rRNA from 1 species
UACGUAGGCAGCGAGCGUUGUUCGGAGUUACUGGGCGUAAAGGGUGUGUAGGCGGUUGUUUAAGUUUGGUGUGAAAUCUCCCGGCUCAACUGGGAGGGUGCGCCGAAUACUGAAUGACUCGAGUGUGGGAGAGGUGAGUGGAAUUCCUGGUGUAGCGGUGAAAUGCGUAGAUAUCAGGAGGAACACCGGUGGUGUAGACGGCCUCACUGGACCAUAACUGACGCUGAGACACGAAAGCGUGGGUAGCAAACAGG